rnacentral:rRNA from 1 species
GCUUACGGCCAUACGCAGCCUGGGUACGCCCGAUCUCGUCUGAUCUCGGAAGCUAAGCAGGGUCGGGCCUGGUUAGUACUUGGAUGGGAGACCGCCUGGGAAUACCAGGUGCUGUAAGCA